rnacentral:rRNA from 1 species
UUGACGGGGAGCACCACAACGGGUGGAGCUUGCGGUUUAAUUGGAUUCAACGCCGGAAAUCUUACCGGACCGACAGCAAUAUGAAGGCCAGGCUGAAGACUUUGCCGGAUUAGCUGAGAGGUGGUGCAUGGCCGUCGUCAGUUCGUACUGUGAAGCAUCCUGUUAAGUCAGGCAACGAGCGAGACCCACGCCCACAGUUGCCAGCGUACUCUCUGGAGUGACGGGUACACUGUGGGGACCGCCGCUGCUAAAGCGGAGGAAGGAAUGGGCAACGGUAGGUCAGUAUGCCCCGAAUAUCCCGGGCUACACGCGAGCUACAAUGGUUGGUACAAUGGGUAUCUACCCCGAAAGGGGACGGGAAUCUCCUAAAACCAAUCUUAGUUCGGAUUGAGGGCUGCAACUCGCCCUCAUGAAGCUGGAAUCCGUAGUAAUCGCGUUUCAACAGAACGCGGUGAAUACGUCCCUGCUCCUU